CCAGUUGUAUUGAAUCGAGGGAGACAAUAUGGCAAUAACCGAUGAAGGCCAACAACAGCCGGCUGAGAGUGAGACGAGAUGGAGAGGAGUUAUCGAGGGAGAGGAUGCUACAAUGUUCGAUGAAGGCUAGCAAUGAUCAGUUGAGAGUAAGCCAGGAUGGAGAGGAGCUAUCGGUUGAGUGACAAGUGAAAGAGUACUCCUAGAUAAAAAGGGAGAAAAUUGUGUAGAGAUUCAAGGAGGUAGAUGCAUGGUGGAGAUGCUAAUAAUGGAGGCGUGGGAACCAAAAGAGAAGGCGAUGGAUGAAAAGGAG
rnacentral:lncRNA from 1 species